CUAUUUGACUGUCUUGUCAUAUGCCCAAGAGCAGCCCUCCACCUCCUGUCCAACUAUCCUGUCAUACACAGAGUGAUGUGUGCUUAACAGAAUUCCUUGACUAAAGCAUGUGGAAAGAAAGACUGAAGCAAGUUUUGGACUUUCUGCCACUCAGGUGGAACAAACAUUAUCACACCAUCCUUAACUCUCCAUGAUAAUGCAAUUCCAUUGCAAGCUGAUGAUGGAUUGCAAAAUGAAUGUUCAAAGCAACAAGAGAAGUCUGUAGUUGAUGAACAAAACUGGGAUAUGAUAACAGAUCCAUAGGAAGGAACAAACACACAAGAACCAAAUUUAUCAACACAUAACACAGAGUUAUAUCAUACUGCUGGGCAAGAGCUGGCAAAAGACUUGGGGAAUACCAAAAUCACUGAGCGUCAGAGCAAGACAAGAAUCACACAUAACCACUAUAUACAAUGAUAUUUGACUCAGAAAGCUAGGAAGACCAAGAACCUUAUGAAUAUAUCAAACUUUACAAUAAAAGAUCACAAAACUUUACAAGAGUGGGAGACAGAUGAUUACAAUAACAACUCAAAUCAAGAACAAAUGAUCCAGUCAGAAGACUUAGUUCAGGGUAUAGAAAAUACAAAAUCAUUAGAAGAAAUGAUGGUGGCACUGGGAAUUAAGAAUUUUCAAGAACUUUAUGAAAAGUCUGAAGUUGAGGAAUAAGACACUGAAUUAAGAGUAGAACAAAAUUAUAUACCUGAUAGAAAACAGAGGAAGAAGCAAACAAUGUAACAAUCCUAUCCCACCUUCCUUUCUCUGACUUAGAACUUCUCACAAACCAGAUUGUCGAUUAACAAAAUAUAUACAAGCUUUACAAACAAGAAUAGCAGAGUUGCACAAAAUGGGCUUGAAACAACAAACAGUACCCCUGGAUUACAAUUUUCACAAUAUCAAACCAGGAGAUAAAGUACACUUUUAAAAAUUUAAAUAGAAAAUUGGCUACAGACAUAAAAUGGACUAGACCACAUGAAGUAUUGCUUACUACCCCGACAGGUAUAAAAAUUGCAGGGAAAGACUAAUGGUUCCACUGUUCCCACAUAAAACCAGAAAAAUCCAACAUCACUGUAACAGACAUAGAAGAAGAAGAUAAUUAGACAAAAGAUGGUGCUGUGAAAUGAAAACAAAAACAUAUUUACAUCAAAAAAUACACCACAAAGAAACAAGAGUGACACAUAAUGUUCGAGACAACAAGAUCCCAGUAAUCAAGCAUACAGCAGCGACAAAAAGACAACUUUCCAGUCCAGAGGAAAAGCAUCCCAGAGGAAAAGAUUUUAAGCCAGAGCAGAGGAAAAGAUUUAAAAGCAUCCCAGAGAAAAAGCAUCAAGAAAAGCUGCUAGAGAGAAGAAACAAAGAGGAAAAACUGAAAUGGACAGCUAAGACUUUGAACUUUGUAAAUUUGUUUAUAUAAGAAGAGGACAGAUAGAAAACAGGUAUUAUAUGUAAGACUGAGUAAGGCAAAAUCAUAAAACAAAAUUAAUUUCACAUAUUAGGGAAAUUGCAUGCAACACUACAUAACUUGGAAGAAAGAAGAGAUACUUCAGUCAAUAUAAGAAGUGGAAAUCUGAAGAAACUUGAUAAGUAUUGAUUCAACACAACAAUAUUAGACACAAAACACAAAAUCACAAACUGACAUAUAUUGGGAGACCUUGUUUAAAUAAAUAAGUGUCUGAAAUUGUA